CUUGUCAACGACGACGGAAUAAAGUGCUCUUCGUAAACCGUGUCUGCAAAUUUCCCACAAAAAGUGAUAAUUUUCGCUGAAAAUCUUCUCCGAUUUAGCGAAUUUCUAACGUUCAACACCAGUUCUACACCGAGUUCCUCACGCUAAGCACCAAGCCGCGCGCUAUUCGCCACACUUUUUUCACGGCUAGUCGCAGUUUAAACAAAGGCCUCAUCCUGGAUAAGAUGGCACGUUACCGCGAGUGGGACCUGCAGUGCAAGGUUUACGUGGGAAAUUUAGGCUCCUCUGCGUCGAAGCACGAAAUAGAAAGUGCCUUCGGCAAGUAUGGCCCACUGCGGAACGUCUGGGUAGCCCGCAACCCGCCCGGAUUCGCGUUCGUCGAGUUCGAAGACAAACGGGACGCGGAAGACGCAGUUCGUUCGCUCGAUGGAACGCGAUGCUGUGGUACCCGGAUACGGGUAGAGAUGUCCUCGGGACGCUCCCGCCGUGACGAUCGCACUCGCCGACCCCGCCGUUCGUACAGGGCAAACUCUUCUAUGAUACUCCACGACAGCGACGUCUUCCGUCACAGUACAUCAUGUUGUCUUAAUUUUGCUAGUAGCGCUACUAGUGCUAAGACUACUACCGCAACACCAUCAUCAAUUCCACCAAUUUUACCACCACCACCAUCCACCACCAAAAAUACAACCAAUACUACCUUCACCACCACUACUACUGCUACUACUUCUGCUACGAGCGAGUGCUCCCGCUGCCCGGUCUCCUUCAGACGCGCAGCAGCAGUUCGGUCGUUACGCGGCGGCCUCUACGGUGGGCUUCUACUUCCUUCACCACUGCAAGCGCCGCUCCCCGUGCCACUGGCAACUGCAGGAGGAAAGCUGGGUGCUCUCUUCUGCGCCGGGCUUCAGCGUCAGCAGCGGCCAUCCCAUUCGGCGGCCUUCAGUUGUGCAGUUUGCUUGCUCUUCCUUUUCUUCUACUGCUACUAUCACCACCACCUCUUCUGCCAUCGUCACCACCUCCGUCUCGCCCGUUCUGCCCAACACCAGCUGCUGCCGGGGACAGCAGCAGCAGCAUCGAACGCAAAAACCGCCCAGCAGCGCCAUUCGUCGCUUCCGUGGACCGUUUUCAUUACAACUUGAGGCAACGACCACACGACCGCCACCGGCUGAGCUGAUGAGCCGCUUCCGGUAAUCGUGCGCCUGCUUCACCCUUUCAACUUGUCCUCUCGGAGGUGUCCUUGCCGUUCGCUGGCUAGCCUGCGACGACACCGCGAGGAGGGAUGAAAGCUGUACGGUCCAAUCCGGUUUCGUAUCGCCUUGACCGAACUGGCUGCCCGCGUCACAUGCAACGCCUCGCACCACACCCGUCGGAUGCCUGCUAAUGCUGCUCUCGCUGACAGUAGCCUAACUUCUUACACUCAAGUUCGCCACGAUCACCAUGUCACCGCUGCCGCUGCUGGUGCUGCUGUCGAAGGCUCGAACACAUACACAGACAAACGAACCACCACGGCCAUCAGCUACUACUACUCCCUUCGCAGCGGACCUUCCCUCCGGAGUCCGGGGAUGGAGGGCGGCCACCAUGGGAUGAUAGAGUGCAGCGUCAGCUUUAACUGGGGCUACCAACCUAUGAUUGCUACCCUCGGCCAACUCUCAACGUCGUCUGGUGGUUUCCUCCCUCUCCGGAAGUCUCGGAUUUUUUUUUCUUUUCUUUUUCUUUGUCUCUCUUUCCCAGCCGAUACGCCCUUCGAUUCGUUUGCAAGUAUCGCAUUGUUGUAGCAUGUAGCGGUACGGUGCGUCCGAUGAGGGUUAAUGGGUCACCCGUUCGAGCCCAAAUUGGCAACACAUUUAUCAUCAUCAUCGGGCUUCUUCUCGUCCCUUGCACAACUGCCAACUUUAUUAUCAUCACUGCGACUACUACCACCCCUGCCUACCAAUCACCUACCACCAGCCCAGCUCUGCUACCACCGUACUACUUACCUACUACUUCUACUACUACUACUACUACUGCUACCACCAUCACCAAACAUCAAUAGAACAUCCCUGCCAAAGAAAACGAGGUCGCAGGAAAAUGAACCUCUAGUUCGACGAGCUGUGCCACUGCGCUAUGUACGGGCAACUUCGGGAUCUUCUCCUGCAAUUUGGCUCUCGACUAAACAGCUACUAGCUCCAGCAAUAUUUUGCUUCUUGGCCUUUGUACGAGCCACCAGCUGUAGAGCUCCAUUACGGGGCAAGUUUGGACCUCUUCUUCUAAUACAUUCUACUAGCGAGAGCUUCAAACUUCAUUGCGAUUAAUUGCUCGCUAGCAGCAGCAGCAGCAACAUCUAUCCCAGCCCAGAGCCACCAUGUACCGAUGUUUCGAUGAAAAUAAGCCAUCCGCGCAGUUCCCAAAUCCUAAUGCUACACAUAAAUGACUACUCCAAUCCCGAUACUCCUUUUGUACGUCGUGCGACGCCACCACCAUUUCGGCACCAUCAUCAUCACCAUCAUUUCACCGACAACAACAGUAGGAAGAAAUCACCAACACUAUAUGUUCGCCCCGCCACAAAUCUUAAGCGACGUGUUCUCGAUCAAGUGCUGAUCAUCCUCAUCGACAUUGCCACACUUCUGCCGCUAGCGCAACAUUAUCGUGAUCGCGGGAGGGACUACUUUGAUGGGAAAUAACCUCUCUCACACACAACGGCGCUUUAUGGUGUUCGGAUGAUCGCACAGGGCGGUAAUGCUGCUAGCUUCCGUGGGUUGGCCAGUGUGCUUCAAUCCGUCUUCUUCCAAACAUCUUUCUCCGCGCACUAAAAAUCAACUUGAUCGUCGAAAUAUUGUCAUCACGAUACUCAACACGACAACCAAAGUGCAUCCUUCGUCGACGAGGCUCCUUCGUUACAUCGUGCAGUAGGCGCUGGACAGCUUUUAUUGAGCUAAACCCAGCGUGGUGAGUGCGUUGCUUCUGUGGACACGAAGAAGGUGUUUUUCCGGUUUUCUUUAUUUUUCUUCACGGAGCUCGAUAUGGCAUCUUCAACCCGUCUCUUACACACAAACACACACAUACUCGCGCGUUCCCGGCAGAGUACGUCCACUGCAUGGCCUGGCAGUUUUAGCUCUCGCUAUCGCCGAAAUUAAGAACACAUCGGCGCAAUCCUUCCGACCGGGCAUCAGAAUGCGCGCCCCGUGUGUUAUGGCUACUUGCGCGCGCGCUUCCCCCAAAAGAACGUUGAUAGUAGGGAAUGGCCAGAUAGGAAAACAGAAAAUGUGUCCCUUCACCAUCACCACCAACUACACAACCACCACCGCCUACUGCUGCAUCCAACCAUCUCGAAUGCUCCACAUCGUGUGUGCUCGCUUUCUCUACUCAUCUCUUCUUCCGUUUCCGGAAAAGAUCACGAUCUCCGCGCCGUUCCCGGACGCGUAGCCGUAGCAUGAGCCGUGAGCGCGAGCGCGAUCGCCGCAGCCGCAGCGGAUCUCGCGAUCGUCGCUAGACCGAUCGCGUGUGUGGGAUGAUGAAUACGAUGUUAGAGCAGACUCUCGGUAACUCCUAGUGUGUUUGUGUUGUGAUGCCCUCCAAAGGUCGCGAUCGUGAAACGGAAACACGGAACAAUAGUAUAACGUACAACACUAAAGCAAUUACUACUACGACCGACAGAGCGCCGGCCAUGUCGGAGAGGCAAACGAUUGACAAAGGAUCGACCAAAACGCAGCAAGGAGCUAGUUCCGCGAGUGUAAAUUGGAGGUGACGCAAUUCAGGACAAUACGUUGUCAUCUUUACUCUUUUUAAGUUACGAGUGACCAUGUGAAAUUUAAAACAUAACACGGAAGAUAUCUCGUCGGUGACGGUACGUGGGCUGUUGUUGCUGCUAAUACUAAUACCAAAACAGUUGGUAGUGUAUAGUAGUAGCAGCACUGGCCGCGGGUUUCCGCACGAAUCGCCUUCCCUUUUCUUUUACUUUUGUUACUCUGCCUGGUAAGCGAAGGUGCGAUUCUUGGCACGAGUGUGGAAAAAGAAGGGGUGUUGGAUAACGUUUAGAGGACAGUUCAUCAAACUUUGUUGGAGCGAGUGAAGCAUGCUCCUCCAUGUAACCGCAACGAAUUGUGAACGGCAUUUUGUUGAGUUAUUUCAUCGGUAUUCUUAUGUGUAUUCACUCGCAUCUUCGCUGUGCUGUCAUCGAUACUCCUAUCAGUUAACCCGACACAUUUUCAACGGUAAUAGAAAGCUAGAAGGGCGUAACUUCCACUGUGGAAGUUUUUGCGAAGCUCCACAACCGGCGGUGAGCCGCGCGUGGUGAGCGUUAUUUGAUCUUCAGUAGAGCAUCUGUUACAAAAUUCAACCCCCUCAUAAACUCACGUCAGGAGAGGGCUCGUGUAGCGUCUUGUGUUCUGUUCGGCUGCUCAUUGAGCCGUCCACGUAUCGCACACACAAAAGCAUGACGCACAGCCCACCCUGCACAUCAUCCUUUUCCCGUUGGUGGGAGAAUUCUUAUUUAGCAUGUAGGAAACUUAUUCGUAAAGUACGGUAUGAUACAUAAUGAGAAAUAGAUAUGGUACGGACAAGUACA